rnacentral:rRNA from 1 species
UACGAAGGGGGGCUAGCGUUGCUCGGAAUUACUGGGCGUAAAGGGCGCGUAGGCGGAUGUUUAAGUCAGAGGUGAAAGCCCAGGGCUCAACCUUGGAACUGCCUUUGAUACUGGGCAUCUUGAGUACGGGAGAGGUGAGUGGAACUCCGAGUGUAGAGGUGAAAUUCGUAGAUAUUCGGAAGAACACCAGUGGCGAAGGCGACUCACUGGCCCGUUACUGACGCUGAGGCGCGAAAGCGUGGGGAGCAAACAGG